rnacentral:lncRNA from 1 species
AAUUAUCCUGGUGCUCACAAUUUCAUCCAAAUGACACAAGAUGCACUUUGGCUUCCUGAGACAGAAUCCAGUUGAAUCCAGGCAUCAGAGGAGAGAUGGCCCAGAGUGGACACCUAUCAAUCCAGUGCUGUUUGGCAUGACAGCCACCACCGGUGCAGCCUCGUACCCACAGGCAGCCACUCCCUCACUUCCCCUCAAGACUUCUCAGCCCUCAACAGCCACUGGCCUGCUGCUUUCUGUCCCUAGACUUGACUACCCUGGACCUUUUGGAUAAAUCAAAUCAUACAAUUUUUGUGCGUGUCUGGCAUCUUUGAGUACGUUUUAAAGGUCCAUGCGGAAGCCACCGAGACCACCCAGCCUGACAAAGAAAAGAAUUCUUGUCUGCAGUUGACAGCCCUCAGGUUGACGGCUUUCCAUUUGCCCCCGAGGCUGUCACUCGAAGAACAAUGGCAGCAAGCAGGGUGGCUCUCACCUGAGACUGGCGCUGCCGCCAGGGGAGGGGCAGCCAGGACGGGGGCGUCGUGUCUCCUCCCGGGGUAGCGGGGUAAGAGCGCUCCCGCCUGCAGCAGACGGCUCCGGGCUGUGGAGGAUUACCGUCUGCGUGGACGGGGUCUCAUCUCACUCUGCAGGUCGGAAAGCAGUAAGCACUUAACACGUCACUCUUCGUUUUUAAAAGUAUAAUACUAAGAUACCGACACAAAAACAUAAAUCUCAGAAGCAUUAUGUUGAAGGGGAAAAGACACAUUUUUAAAAGUACUACUGUACAUUCCAUUUGUGUGAAGUUCUAGAGCUAGCAAAACUAAGCUGUGGUGUUAGAGAUCAGGUCAAUGGUUGCUUCCUCAGGAGAGGGGAGGCGGGGGGGUGGGGGCUUUCUAAGGGAUGGAAGGAAAUGUUCCA